rnacentral:lncRNA from 1 species
GUCAUAGUAUUUUCCUAAAAUAUAUUUGCAAUUAAAAAUUAAAUUUUUACCCCUCACAUAAUACCUUAUGGAUGUCUAUUAUAUCCCAAAUUAUAAGGGACAUUAUGCCCUUUCUAGUUUUGUUGGAACUUUGAGUGCAUGGAUGGGCAAUGGGCAAUGAGCCCAUUGACGGCCAUGCAAUUGAGCUACAUUUGCAGGUGCACAUGAUAUCACUCCUUUUCAAGUAUCUUUCAUUUUCACAAAAAGGACACCUACACCCCCCAAAAUUUAGGAAAAUGGUUAGAAAAGUCCCCAAGUUUUCAUUAAGAGGCAUUAAACUUUCGUUUUAACCAUAAUGCUCUUUAAUUUUAUAAAUCCC